CACAUAAGAAAAUACUCUUAAAUAAUAAAAAUAGUAUCAGCCUUCCUUCCCCAUAGAUGGUGUUGAGGGUAAAACAAACUGCCCUCCUUCCUGGGUCUGUAUCAGGGCAAACAGACCCUGCAAAGCCUUUACCUCGUGCUGGUUGGAGGACAUCCAUCAUUGGUGCCAUUUCGACAUUUCAACCUUUCUGCCGGGCCUCUGCAUUUCAGUUUGAAAAAUUGGCCUGCAGUAAUGGUCAGAAGCUGCCCUCCCCCUCCAUUCCUCCAAGUGAAAGACAAGGACUGCUGUUCUCUCUCCAUUGCAACAGUUGUCAAAAAGAAAGACAGCUCUCCCCCAGAUGGUUGACUCUGCAUCUCCGGCCCAGACUUUUCCAUCUACGAGAACAGCUCAAAGGCAUUUGGCAUUGGGAUCUCAGUGAAAAGAUCUGCUCAAGAUUUUCAAGAUGGAAAGAGGUUUAUCAUUUUGGCAGGAGCUUGAUUAUGUAAAUAUAGACGUGUUAUGCCCCAUUCCUGGGUGCCUCCAAACCGUCCCAGGUGUGCUUGAGGUAACUGAUUACAAUGAACAGUCAAUAAAAGAAACAAUGAUAAAUAUGAAGGAGGUUGAUAAUAUGACAGAUGAGAAUCACAUGGUUUUGGGUGAAAAGCAGGAUCCCAAUGACAUGAGCAGUACUCCAAGCGUGCAAGAAACAAAACCAGAAGAAAGACUCAUGGAAAAUGCAUCAAGUACUAAAGGCGAUGAGGCUCCUCUGGUAAUGGAAAGUGGAGGAAAGGACACAUACCCCUGCAAAGCAAUGGUGCAAAUCAUGGGCAGCCUGGUGGUCUCAACUGAGUCUCUGUGCUCCGCUUGGAGCCAGGGACGCCCUCUUCUUUGUGACGUCUGAUGAUACCCAUGGCAACUUGCUUGUCAUAGGAGCUGAGUAUAAACUUCUGGAACAGCAGGAAGUAAAGAGAAGUGAGAAGAGCUGGCAGAG
rnacentral:lncRNA from 12 species